rnacentral:rRNA from 1 species
AACGAACGCUGGCGGCAUGCCUAACACAUGCAAGUCGAACGAGACCUUCGGGUCUAGUGGCGCACGGGUGCGUAACGCGUGGGAACCUGCCCUUAGGUUCGGAAUAACUCCCCGAAAGGGGUGCUAAUACCGGAUAAUGUCUUCGGACCAAAGAUUUAUCGCCUUUGGAUGGGCCUGCGUUGGAUUAGCUAGUUGGUAGGGUAAAAGCCUACCAAGGCGACGAUCCAUAGCUGGUCUGAGAGGAUGAUCAGCCACACUGGGACUGAGACACGGCCCAGGCUCCUACGGGAGGCAGCAGUGGGGAAUAUUGGACAAUGGGCGAAAGCCUGAUCCAGCAAUGCCGCGUGAGUGAUGAAGGCCUUAGGGUUGUAAAGCUCUUUUACCCGGGAUGAUAAUGACAGUACCGGGAGAAUAAGCUCCGGCUAACUCCGUG